rnacentral:rRNA from 1 species
UACGUAGGUGGCAAGCGUUGUCCGGAUUUACUGGGCGUAAAGAGCGCGCAGGCGGUCAGAUAAGUCGAAUGUGAAAGCCCCCGGCUCAACUGGGGAGGGUCAUUCGAUACUGUUCGACUCGAAGGCAGGAGAGGGAAGCGGAAUUCCCGGUGUAGUGGUGAAAUGCGUAGAUAUCGGGAGGAACACCAGUGGCGAAGGCGGCUUCCUGGCCUGUUCUUGACGCUGAGGCGCGAAAGCGUGGGGAGCAAACAGG